GAUGAACGCUGGCUACAGGCUUAACACAUGCAAGUCGAGGGGAAACGACGGGGAAGCUUGCUUCCCCGGGCGUCGACCGGCGCACGGGUGAGUAACGCGUAUCCAACCUGCCUCUGACUGAGGGAUAACCCGUCGAAAGUCGGCCUAAUACCUCAUGGCAUCGUCUGCGGGCAUCCAACGACGAUUAAAGAUUUCAUCGGUCAGAGAUGGGGAUGCGUCUGAUUAGCUUGUUGGCGGGGUAACGGCCCACCAAGGCGACGAUCAGUAGGGGUUCUGAGAGGAAGGUCCCCCACAUUGGAACUGAGACACGGUCCAAACUCCUACGGGAGGCAGCAGUGAGGAAUAUUGGUCAAUGGGCGAGAGCCUGAACCAGCCAAGUAGCGUGCAGGAUGACGGCCCUAGGGGUUGUAAACUGCUUUUAGGCGGGGAUAAAGUGAGGGACGUGUCCUUCAUUGCAGGUACCGCAUGAAUAAGGACCGGCUAAUUCCGUG
rnacentral:rRNA from 1 species